rnacentral:lncRNA from 1 species
UGUCAGACAUUGUGUAGUAACUUGGAGGCAAGUAAAGCAGGUACUGGCAAGGGGCUGUUUGAAGACUACCUCCUCUCUUCCCAAGUAGUGAGAUCUGGAGCAGGUCCUAGACAUAUUAGCAUAUUAUCUCAGUCACCCUCUUGUGCGUAGAGUUGAAUACCUGAAUCCCUAGAUAUUAAAGCCAUUUUUGCUAGUAGCUGUAACAUACAGGGUUGAGUAACAGUAGCUGCUCUUGAGGCAGUUAGGUGGAGGCUACUAGUAACUGCUGCUGACCACUGCUUUAUGGGGAUGGAGACUCCAGUACCCUUUCCGGGUGGAGUUGUGAAGCAGCUUGGGGGCUGCUGGCUUAUCACUAUGAAGACUAGUAGUUGUUCCUAGCAAUGGCCAUUGACAUCAGCAGUAUCAUUUAGUGAGCCACCUCAUAAGCUGCUAUUAUUAGGCAAGAUGCUCAAAGCUGAAGACCAUGGGGGGGAGAGGGGAAGCGAGUAUGUUCCUUUUUCAAAAGAAGAAGAAGAAAAAGACUGUUCUAACUAUGAGACACUAAGGAUUGGAGUACCUUCCUCAUUUGAUUUUACCUUGGAUUACUACUGGCGACAAAUUUAUCAUGUGGUUAAUGUGAGGAGGUAGUGCCACUUCAUAAGACAUUCCUGAUAACCGAAAUGGUCUUCUAAACAGCAGAGCUGAGAACUUGCAAAAUAAUGGUUUUGUUUUCUUUGUAUUGCAGACAAUAUGAUGAAGUGUCUUACAUGGACAAUAGAUUCCCUGCUCCAUUAGCAUCUUCCUGUAGUGGUGAAUCUGAUUCUGAUCCAAGAAAGAAUCUUAACUUUCAGGAUACUGUGCAAUGCUGUAAUAAAGCUGCAGACAAUCAGUUGGAGUCAAGCCAGGAAGAAUCUAAUGUUUUGCAGCAAAAGCACCAGCAUUUUUCUAAUGAAUGCUCUGGGAACCAGUGGCAUUCUUUGCAUGAGAGGCUUUCACUUCAACACUUGGAAGAUUUGACAGCUAGAAUAUUUGCUUCAUUUGAAAAAGACAAUGAAGACUACAAGGCUGUUUCAUUAGAACAUGGUCAGAAGAGAAUAACAAAUGAAAUAGACAACAACGCUAGGAUCGGCUUUUCCAGAUUUAUAGAAAAUGAACAACCACUGAGCUUUGCAAGUUUAGAAGGAAAUUCUACAGGUAUUGCUUUAAAAUUCGAAUUGUUUGGUAUACUUCCAGUUUAUUUUUGCUAA